GCGGACUUGGUGAAACCGGUAGACACAAGGGGCUUAAAACCCCUCGCCCGCAAGGGCUUGCGGGUUCGAGCCCCGCAGUCCGCACCA
rnacentral:tRNA from 1 species